UUAAGUGUCAUUCGACUGCGCUCUCAGACGUUUUAAAAUGCUACAUUGCAUAAAGGGUUUUCAAAUGUGCCGCCGGCAGGCUGACCCUCCCCCAGCCGUGAGGCGAAAGGGAGGCGCUGCCGAAGCAACAAGGGUUUUCACAGAGGGUUCACCGUUCGGCGCCUCCCGGGAAACCGGGGGACGCCUUGUGGCUUACGGGUUUUUAGACGGCCCCCGGGGCCCUUCAUUUUUUAAUGAUCCUUCCGCAGGUUCACCUACGGAAA
rnacentral:misc_RNA from 1 species